rnacentral:rRNA from 1 species
UGGGGAAUCUUCCGCAAUGGGCGAAAGCCUGACGGAGCAACGCCGCGUGAAUGAAGAAGGCCUUCGGGUCGUAAAGUUCUGUCUUUAGGGACGAAUGAGUAUGUGCAAAUAGUUCAUGCUUUGACGGUACCUAAGGAGGAAGCUCCGGCUAACUACGUGCCAGCAGCCGCGGUAAUACGUAGGGAGCAAGCGUUGUCCGGAAUUACUGGGCGUAAAGGGCGCGUAGGCGGGAACUUAAGUCAGAUGUGAAAACUCCGGGCUCAACUUGGAGACUGCAUUUGAAACUGAGUUUCUUGAGGGCAGGAGAGGAAAGUGGAAUUCCUAGUGUAGCGGUGAAAUGCGUAGAUAUUAGGAGGAACACCAGUGGCGAAGGCGACUUUCUGGACUGAACCUGACGCUG